rnacentral:tRNA from 1 species
GGGGCCAUAGCUCAGUUGGUAGAGCGCUUGAAUGGCAUUCAAGAGGUCAGGGUUCGAUUCCCUUGGCUCCACCA